GGGGUAAAGGCUCACCAAGCCGACGAUCUGUAGCUGGUCUGAGAGGACGACCAGCCACACUGGGACUGAGACACGGCCCAGACUCCUACGGGAGGCAGCAGUGGGGAAUUUUGGACAAUGGGCGCAAGCCUGAUCCAGCCAUGCCGCGUGCAGGAUGAAGGCCUUCGGGUUGUAAACUGCUUUUGUACGGAACGAAAAGGUUUGGCCUAAUAAGCUGAGCUCAUGACGGUACCGUAAGAAUAAGCACCGGCUAACUACGUGCCAGCAGCCGCGGUAAUACGUAGGGUGCGAGCGUUAAUCGGAAUUACUGGGCGUAAAGCGUGCGCAGGCGGUUAUGUAAGACAGAUGUGAAAUCCCCGGGCUCAACCUGGGAACUGCAUUAGUGACUGCAUAGCUGGAGUACGGCAGAGGGGGAUGGAAUUCCGCGUGUAGCAGUGAAAUGCGUAGAUAUGCGGAGGAACACCGAUGGCGAAGGCAAUCCCCUGGGCCUGUACU
rnacentral:rRNA from 1 species